rnacentral:lncRNA from 1 species
UUUAGUAUCUUUCUUCAACAUCUUUCUUUACUAAGCUCAACUUAGGGCAAAUUAAGUGGCUCUCCAUUAUUCAAACAAAACAGCUCACCCUUUUAAGUUUCCAGGGAAACAAAACUUCUCUAAAGCUUUAUUUCUUAAUUCCAUGUCUACACUAGUUUAUCCAUACCAUUCUAUACUAUGCUGUAAUACUAAGGAUGAGAAAGUGCUACAAAACAUAUAACCAUGAAUAGGAACCAUAAUUAAAUAUAAGUAACAUUUGCUCUUAGAUAAAAAAAAAAUCUAAGUCCAUUUCUUAAGAAUGACAACUCAGUUAUCAGACAAUAGGUUUUUUUUUUUUUAAUGUCGUCAUUAACACAAUAAAAUCCUACCUAGGUAUAAAAUGAAUUCAAUUUAGAAUGAAUAAAAUGAGAGAACAUUCAGGUAAACACUAGAAACAAGGCUUUCAAAAGUCUUACCCAU